AACUUUUAACAACGGAUCUCUUGGCUCUCGCAUCGAUGAAGAACGCAGCAAAGCGCGAAAUGUAAUGUGAAUUGCAGAAUUCAGUGAAUCAUCGAAUCUUUGAACGCACCUUGCGCUCUUGGGUUAUUCCUGAGAGCAUGCUUGUUUGAGUGUCGCGUACCUUCUCAACCCCGCCUUUCAUAGCUCUCGAGCUAAAGGUCGUUAGGGUUGGAUCAUGACGCUUUGUCUGUUCGUAAUGGCAGACUGCGUUGAAAUACAACAAGCUGAAUCUUUUACUCGGCGGCUUGACCUGUUGUCAUAGAGUUUAAUACUUUCAACGGGGACGCUUGUAGGAAUGAGCUUACCAUAAACUGAAUCGUCUCUUUAUCGAGCGAUUCUUAUGACUUUGACCUCAAAUCAAGUAGGACUACCCGCUGAACUUAAGCAUAUCAAUAAGCGGAGGCU
rnacentral:misc_RNA from 1 species